AAAAUAUUAAGUUAUAAAAACUAAAAGUUUUCAAAACUUUAAAAAAGAUUUUUCUUAUAUUUUA
rnacentral:tRNA from 1 species